AGUGAACGCUGGCGGUAGGCCUAACACAUGCAAGUCGAACGGCAGCACAGUAAGAGCUUGCUCUUACGGGUGGCGAGUGGCGGACGGGUGAGGAAUACAUCGGAAUCUACUUUUUCGUGGGGGAUAACGGAGGGAAACUUACGCUAAUACCGCAUACGACCUACGGGUUAAAGCAGGGGAUCUUCGGACCUUUCGCGAUUGAAUGAGCCGAUGUCGGAUUAGCUAGUUGGCGGGGUAAAGGCCCACCAAGGCGACGAUCCGUAGCUGGUCUGAGAGGAUGAUCAGCCACACUGGAACUGAGACACGGUCCAGACUCCUACGGGAGGCAGCAGUGGGGAAUAUUGGACAAUGGGCGCAAGCCUGAUCCAGCCAUACCGCGUGGGUGAAGAAGGCCUUCGGGUUGUAAAGCCCUUUUGUUGGGAAAGAAAAGCAGCAGGUUAAUACCCCGCUGUUCUGACGGUACCCAAAGAAUAAGCACCGGCUAACUUCGUG
rnacentral:rRNA from 1 species